rnacentral:rRNA from 1 species
AUUGAACGCUGGCGGCAGGCCUAACACAUGCAAGUCGAGCGGAUGAAGGGAGCUUGCUCCUGGAUUCAGCGGCGGACGGGUGAGUAAUGCCUAGGAAUCUGCCUGGUAGUGGGGGAUAACGUCCGGAAACGGGCGCUAAUACCGCAUACGUCCUGAGGGAGAAAGUGGGGGAUCUUCGGACCUCACGCUAUCAGAUGAGCCUAGGUCGGAUUAGCUAGUUGGUGGGGUAAAGGCCUACCAAGGCGACGAUCCGUAACUGGUCUGAGAGGAUGAUCAGUCACCCGGGAACUGAGACAGGCUCCACACUCCCGCGGGGGGCACCAGGGGGAAAUUUUGGACAGUGGGCGAAGACUUGACCCACCCAUGCGGGGUGUGUGAAAAGGGUUUUCGGUUUGUAAACAAGUUUAAGUGGGGGGAAAGGGAAUUAAGUUAUUCCCUUGCUUUUUUGACGUACCCAACAAAAAAACCCCGGGCUAACUUCGUC